rnacentral:tRNA from 1 species
GCGCGAGUGGCGAAAUGGCAGACGCGCUGGCUUCAGGUGCCAGUGUUCGAAAGGACGUGGGGGUUCAAGUCCCCCCUCGCGCAC